UACGAAGGGGGCUAGCGUUGCUCGGAAUCACUGGGCGUAAAGCGCACGUAGGCGGCUUUCUAAGUCGGGGGGUGAAAUCCUGGAGCUCAACUCCAGAACUGCCUUUGAUACUGGAGAGCUUGAGUCCGGAAGAGGUGAGUGGAACUCCGAGUGUAGAGGUGAAAUUCGUAGAUAUUCGGAAAGAACACCAGUGGCGAAGGCGGCUCACUGGGUCCGGUACUGACGCUGAUGUGCGAAAGCGUGGGGAGCAAACAGG
rnacentral:rRNA from 1 species